rnacentral:rRNA from 1 species
UACGGGGGGGGCAAGCGUUGUUCGGAAUUACUGGGCGUAAAGGGCUCGUAGGCGGCCAACUAAGUCGGAUGUGAAAUCCCCAGGCUUAACCUGGGAACUGCAUCCGAUACUGGAUGGCUUGAAUCCGGGAGAGGGAUGCAGAAUUCCAGGUGUAGCGGUGAAAUGCGUAGAUAUCUGGAGGAACACCGGUGGCGAAGGCGGCAUCCUGGACCGAUACUGACGCUGAUGAGCGAAAGCCAGGGGAGCAAACGGG